AACACAGGCGUUACGUUCAUGUUUGCAAUGGCACGCACGGCAGAAUAUCAAACGCUUACUCACGCUAAAGAGGAUGUAUUCACGAAAUUCAAGUCACUAACAAAUUGGUGAAAAGCCCUUUCGUACAAAGACUUUUGUCCGCUAUCGCUAAUGAGGUUGCUCUAACUGCGCCAUGAACCAUCUUGCUCAUCUGUCACUUGUUAACGGCCAUAUAAAUUCAACAAGAAAUCACUGGCGAUAUCUUAUGGGAGUUAGUGAGGUUUUAAUUAUUUGAAGCAAUCAUAACAUUGUGUCUUAAUAUUAAAUUUUAAUAGUAAUUAAAACACAGAACUUCAUCAAUCGGAAUUCAGUGCCAAAAUAUCAAACAAUUUGUAGAUUACUUUUCUUCUAUUAAAGGACAAAGUUUAUAUUUUCGUAAAAUACACAUAAUUAACAUGUUUGUUAAAAGCUCUUUCGUGCAAAUACUUUUGAGUAAAAAAUUUUUCUAUUUAUUAAUGUAAUUUGUUGUGAUUUUCUUUUAAUGUGUGCACUCGAUCUUGAAUAUUCAACCAAAGAAGUUCAGUGUACUCUAUAAGCAACAAAUAAAUGACAUAUUAUCAUCUUGGAAGAAA